CCUACGGGAGGCAGCAGUGAGGAAUAUUGGUCAAUGGUCGGGAGACUGAACCAGCCAAGCCGCGUGAGGGAUGAAGGUACAGAGUAUCGUAAACCUCUUUUGUCAGGGAACAAAGGCGGGGACGUGUCCCCGGAUGAGUGUACCUGAAGAAAAAGCGUCGGCUAACUCCGUGCCAGCAGCCGCGGUAAUACGGAGGAUGCGAGCGUUAUCCGGAUUUAUUGGGUUUAAAGGGUGCGCAGGCGGUCUGUUAAGUCAGCGGUCAAAGCCCGGGGCUCAACCCCGGCCCGCCGUUGAAACUGGCAGUCUAGAGUUGGAGAGAGGUAUGCGGAAUGCGCGGUGUAGCGGUGAAAUGCGUAGAUAUCGCGCAGAACUCCGAUGGCGAAGGCAGCAUGCCGGCUCCACACUGACGCUGAGGUACGAAAGCGUGGGUAUCGAACAGGAUUAGAUACCCCGGUAGUC
rnacentral:rRNA from 1 species